rnacentral:rRNA from 1 species
AGUCAAGGGGGCCCGCAAGGGCAACCGGCGAACGGGUGCGUAACACGUGAGCAACCUGCCUAGGUGUGGGGGAUAGCCGGCCCAACGGCCGGGUAAUACCGCAUAGGUUCUUCUGGGGGAGUCCUUGGGAGAGCAAACCUGUCGCAAGACGGGGCAUUUAGAGGGGCUCGCGGCCUAUCAGCUAGUUGGCGGGGUAAUGGCCCACCAAGGCGACGACGGGUAGCUGGUCUGAGAGGAUGGCCAGCCACAUUGGGACUGAGAAACGGCCCAGACUCCUACGGGAGGCAGCAGUGGGGAAUCUUGCGCAAUGGCCGAAAGGCUGACGCAGCGACGCCGCGUGUGGGAGGAAGCUCUUCGGGGUGUAAACCACUGUUGCCCGGGACGAACACACCUAUUCGUGGGUGCUGACGGUACCGGGUGAGGAAGCACCGGCUAACUCUGUGCCAGCAGCCGCGGUAAUACAGAGGGUGCGAGCGUUGUCCGGAAUCACUGGGCGUAAAGGGCGCGUAGGCGGCGCGGUAAGCGUGCGGUGAAAGCCCGGGGCUCAACCCCGGGUCGGCCGUGCGGACUGCCGGGCUGGAGCACUGUAGAGGCAGGUGGAAUUCCGGGUGUAGCGGUGGAAUGCGUAGAGAUCCGGAAGAACACCGGUGGCGAAGGCGGCCUGCUGGGCAGUAGCUGACGCUGAAGCGCGACAGCGUGGGGAGCAAACAGGAUUAGAUACCCUGGUAGUCCACGCCGUAAACGAUGGGCACUAGGUGCCUGGGGGAGCGACCCCCCGGGUGCCGGCGCUAACGCAUUAAGUGCCCCGCCUGGGGAGUACGGCCGCAAGGCU